rnacentral:rRNA from 1 species
UACGUAGGGUGCGAGCGUUAAUCGGAAUUACUGGGCGUAAAGCGUGCGCAGGCGGUUCGUUAAGUCAGAUGUGAAAGCCCCGGGCUCAACCUGGGAACUGCAUUUGAAACUGGCGGGCUUGAGUGCGGCAGAGGGGGGUGGAAUUCCGCGUGUAGCAGUGAAAUGCGUAGAGAUGCGGAGGAACACCGAUGGCGAAGGCAGCCCGCUGGGUCGACACUGACGCUCAGGCACGAAAGCGUGGGGAGCAAACAGG